UACGUAGGGUGCAGGCGUUUAAUCGGAAUUACUGGGCGUAAAGCGUGCGCAGGCGGCUCCUUAAGUCAGAUGUGAAAUCCCCGGGCUUAACCUGGGAACUGCGUUUGAAACUGAGGGGCUAGAGUGUGGAAGAGGGGGGGUGGAAUUCCAGGUGUAGCAGUGAAGUGCGUAGAUAUCGGGAGGAAUACCAGUGGCGAAGGCGGCUUUCUGGCCCAAUACUGGACACUCAUGUGCGACAGCGUGGGGGAGCAAACAGGG
rnacentral:rRNA from 1 species